rnacentral:pre_miRNA from 1 species
CAAAUACUCCCUCCGUCCAGAAAUACUUGUCAUCAAAAUGGAUAAAAGGAAAUGUAUCUAGACGUAUUUUAGUUUUAGAUACAUCUCUUUUUAUCCAUUUUCAUGACAAGUAUUUUCGGACAGAGGGAGUAGAAA